GACGAACGCUGGCGGCGUGCUUAACACAUGCAAGUCGAGCGGAAAGGCCCUUCGGGUACUCGAGCGGCGAACGGGUGAGUAACACGUGAGCAACCUGCCCUGGACUUUGGGAUAACCCUCGGAAACGGGGGCUAAUACCGGAUAUUACCUUUGCCCGCAUGGGUGUUGGUGGAAAGUUUUCGGUCUGGGAUGGCUCGCGGACUAUCAGCUUGUUGGUGGGGUAACGGCCUACCAAGGCAACGAUGGGUAGCUGGCUGAGAGGACGAUCAGCCACACUGGGACUGAGACACGGCCCAGACUCCUACGGGAGGCAGCAGGUGGGAAUCUUGCGCAAUGCGCGAAAGCGUGACGCAGCAACGCCGC
rnacentral:rRNA from 1 species